GUAGGGAAUAUUGGGCAAUGGAGGCAACUCUGACCCAGCCAUGCCGCGUGAAGGAAGACGGUCCUAUGGAUUGUAAACUUCUUUUAUCAUAGAGUAACCGCAGGGACGUGUCCCUGCCUGCAAGUAUAUGAUGAAUAAGCAUCGGCUAACUCCGUGCCAGCAGCCGCGGUAAUACGGAGGAUGCAAGCGUUAUCCGGAUUUAUUGGGUUUAAAGGGUGCGCAGGCUGACCGGUAAGUCAGGGGUGAAACUUUACAGCUUAACUGUAAACGUGCCUUUGAUACUGCCGGACUAGAGUUUAAGAGACGUAAUUGGAAUGUGAUGUGUAGCGGUGAAAUGCUUAGAUAUAUCACAGAACGCCGAUCGUGAAGACAGAUUACGAACUUAAUACUGACGCUCAUGCACGAAAGCGUGGGGAUCAAACAGGAUUAGAUACCCGAGUAGUCC
rnacentral:rRNA from 1 species